rnacentral:rRNA from 1 species
UGAUGGCGACCGGCGCACGGGUGAGUAACACGUAUCCCACCUGCCGUCUACUCUUGGACAGCCUUCUGAAAGGAAGAUUAAUACAAGAUGGCAUCAUGAGUCCGCAUGUUCACAUGAUUAAAGGUAUUCCGGUAGACGAUGGGGAUGCGUUCCAUUAGAUAGUAGGCGGGGUAACGGCCCACCUAGUCUUCGAUGGAUAGGGGUUCUGAGAGGAAGGUCCCCCACAUUGGAACUGAGACACGGUCCAAACUCCUACGGGAGGCAGCAGUGAGGAAUAUUGGUCAAUGGGCGAGAGCCUGAACCAGCCAGGUAGCGUGAAGGAAGACUGCCCUAUGGGUUGUAAACUUCUUUUAUACGGGAAUAAAGUCAUCCACGUGUGGAUGUUUGUAUGUACCGUAUGAAUAAGGAUCGGCUAACUCCGUGCCAGCAGCCGCGGUAAUACGGAGGAUCCGAGCGUUAUCCGGAUUUAUUGGGUUUAAAGGGAGCGUAGGCGGGCUUUUAAGUCAGUUGUGAAAGUUUGCGGCUCAACCGUAAAAUUGCAGUUGAUACUGGAAGCCUUGAGUACAGUAGAGGCAGGCGGAAUUCGUGGUGUAGCGGUGAAAUGCUUAUAUAUCACGAAGAACUCCGAUUGCGAAGGCAGCUUGCUGGACUGUAACUGACGCUGAUGCUCGAAAGUGUGGGUAUCAAACAGGAUUAGAUACCCUGGUAGUCCACGCAGUAGACGAUGAUAACUCGUUGUCG